rnacentral:rRNA from 1 species
UACGGAGGGUGCAAGCGUUAUCCGGAAUCACUGGGUUUAAAGGGUGCGUAGGCGGUUUGGUUAGUCAGUUGUGAAAUUCCCCGGCUUAACCGGUGGAACUGCGAUUGAUACUGCCAAACUUGAAUCAGGUUGAGGUAGGCGGAAUGUGGCAUGUAGCGGUGAAAUGCUUAGAUAUGCCAUAGAACACCGAUUGCGAAGGCAGCUUGCUGGACCUGUAUUGACGC